CUUAUCUGAGAGGUUUCAUGAAGUUGUAUUCUGGUUCCGAUUAUUAUAAGCCCUAAUGUUGUAAGCUCAAUGAUGGCGAGCCAAGGAUCGGCUAAAGGCUUCUUGAAUGUGUUCGUGGAGGUUCAGUUGGAUUCAUUGAAUCGAUUUACGGUGUUUUGAAGCAUAUUCGAAUAGUGUGUACUGUUGCACAACAUAUAUGGGCUUUCAUAGAAAUCUGGUGCAAACUAAGCCGAUUUUAUAUUCUU
rnacentral:lncRNA from 1 species